CUUUAAUUGCAACCUCUCGGAAAUUGGUCUUUGUGUUAGAGUAAAGCCUCUUCCAGUCAUCCAGUACCAUCUUACUUGGAGGCAGCAAAUCAAGAGGAUUCUUUGGUUUGGGCUUUGGUGCCUCCUCCUCCUCAGCUGCCUCUGCCUUUGCUGCCUGUUUCUCAACCUCCUUUUUGGCUUCUUUCUUUGGUUCGGCCUUUGGUUUAGUUUCCUUUGGCUGGGCAGCAGGCUUCUUUGAAGGAACAGGUGGUAGAGAGACUGCCUGCUUCAUUUCACCAAGAAUCUUCUUGAUUUUUGGCUGAUUAACCAAGGUCCAAAAGUACCUCUCAACAUGAGGGAACUCCGAGGUAAAACUCUUAGUCAUGAUCUGGGAGAAACCCAAGUAGAGGUUACAUGUCAUGAUAAUGUCAGCAAGGGUGACAAAAUGUCCAACAAGAAAUGUGUUGGAAGCAAGAUGAGUGUUCAAAGCGCCAAGGGCUCUCUUCAAUGCAGCAAUAGCAGCUUCCUCAGACUACAUGCAAAAUAAAAAUAAAAGAUUAAAAUGAAAUAGAUGGGCAAAAUCAUACGAAGUAAAAUGAGCUACUACUGAAUUACAAAAAUAAAAUUUAACUCUUAAUAUAGAUUAAUAAAUACAUCAGAAUGGGGGAGAAAACAACCUAGUCUCUUAAAAAAAUAAUGAGGAGAAAACCCAUGCCUACUUGAUUAUCAAUUCAAUGGGCAUUCCCUUGAACCAAAAUUACUUAAUAGUGCUUGAGUUGAUUCCUUUCCAGAAACUAUGCAUGGGAAAACACUACCACAUUAAGCAUGUACUAAAUGUUGUCUAACUAAUCCUCUCUAAAAUAAAUAAAACAAGAAUCAUAGACAGGUAAUCAAUGCCAAUUUUCCCUUCACCAUUCCCUCCUUAAUAUUUUGUAUUUCGAUGACUAAGUUGCCUUAUUCCAAUUUUAACAUAGGACCUAUUGUCUUAUAAUUAGAAAGAAACAAAGACUAAGAAUGGCCCCAGCAAAUCAAGCCCAAUUAAAAUGACAAAAGAAUCUGCAAGGAAAGACAGUAGAACUUACUGGAGGAAGGUAAACACCGUAACCAAGUCUUGGAUACAACCAUUUUGCAAUAUUAGCAUCAAUUUCCAUGGCUGCAAAAUCAAUCCAUUGCUCGAUAUGACCCUAAGAAAGCCAAAGUAAUACAUACAAACAAUUACUUCCAUGGUUUAAAAUAAACCUAACUGAUGACAGAAGAAAACAAGACCAUUGUACUAUAAGAAUCUUACAUAAUCAAUCAAUGUAGAACCACAUAUAGGGUUGUUAACCUUUGAGCGAGCAACUGCAGAGAAAAGUAUACCAAUAAAUAAACAAACAUUAGAGGAAGAAAAUUUAGGAUAUGGACUCAGCAGAUCUUCUCACCAUAACGAGCAAUGGCAUUGCUCUCAAAUACAGGACCCUCAGGUGUUUCCAACACAGGAACCUAGAAGAGUUAUAAAUAUCUUCAGUGAACUGACCUAGAAAAAAGGUUACAUAACAUGUAUAAAAAAAAUUCUCUAGUUUAAAUCUAUUAAUAGGCGUUACAAGGUCACCUUCCCCAAAGGGUUCAUCUUGAUGAACUCAGGAGUCUUAUUUGACACACCCAUCUCAAAAUUCUCAACCAUUUUGACCUGCACACCACUAUAUUCUGCAGCAAUGAGUGCCUUAAAGGCAUUUUUAUUUGUUUUUCCUGCAUGCAAGACCUGCAUGUAAAUCAACACACCACAUUGAUUAGAAGAACCGGUUGAUUAAGAAGUUGAAUUGAAUGUCAAACACCAGUCAAUCCCUACAACGAAUCCAGUAAAAUCCUGAAAUUGAUCCUUUUCGCCCCAUAAAUUCUCUUAAAGACCAUUCACUUUACAUUCUAAACUACUAACCGGUACUUAGCAUUUCCAUCUACCAUACACAAUUAACCUAAUUGACGUAACAUCUCGCCAUCCAUCUUUCUUCUGGUCAAUGGUUCCCAGUUGAAAUCGAAGGUGGUAGAGUUAAAAUCAAAAUCAAUUUUUUUAUCGUUAUGAUUAGUAUCUACAAAUCCAUAAACUAUUCCAUUGAUAGUAAUUAUAUAAAACAUAUUCAAUCUGCCACUUCUUUCGCAAUGUAAAAAAGCUAGUUACAAUUUUCACUUUCUAAUUCUACUCGAAAUAACUUCCACUUAAUCAUUAGGUGUCAAUUCUUUCAACAGUUAAACCACCAAAAGAAAUGAAACUAAUAUAUAUACACAGAUAUAAAGCUUACCAGAGCCAUGGCUUGAUAGAAAAGAGCGCUACGAUUUGAGAACUGAGAUCUGGAAAAUGAAAAACAGAGAACAAAAUAAAAGGAAUAAGGAAAAAUAUUCAAGCAGGAGAACUUGAUUCCCAUGUAUUAAGGAGUAAAAAUGAGAGAAAGGAUUAAGAAAGAACCUUGAAGACGAAAUCGCAGCGAGAAGGAGCGGGAGAGACUGCGGGACAAAGAGAGAAUAAAAGAAAGGGGGACUAGGGUUUUUGUAGAGUAGAGCGAGUGUGAUGUGGGGUUAUCAGUUCGGGUUCCGGUUUAGAUCCAGAUUUACUAACCCCUUUCUUUUUCCGGUUUUUUUAAGCGUGUCUUUGAGGUAAUAAGUGGGUGAGUUACAACUAGCUUAAUGGGAUUACCAUUUCAAGAAUAAUUAAAUAAAAAUAAAUUAUAUAAAAAAUUCUCAUAACCAUUGAACCAUUGUUUUUCUCCAAUUUUCUUUUUCACAACAGUUUUGCUUUUUAUGUAAUUACACACAACUAAUUGAUCUGAAUCGAUUGGAUCACUAAUUUUUAAUUUAAUUGUUUAGAUCACUCUGAAAAACACUACUUUUCUCAAAUUUUUUUAUCUUGUGUCUAUUUUUUUUUAUUACCAAUAUAAAUUAACUUGGAGUAUAAUGAUUUAUAUUUUUGCUCAGGCUUGAGGUUGUUUGUUUAGAUAAAGUGAGUUGUAUUUAAUUAAAAACUAUAUUGGUUUGAGUUCAAACCUUAUUAUUUUUUAAAAAGAUUAAACUACCCUCGAAUAAUCUAAUUUAUUUUAAAUAUGAAAAACAUUUUUGUAAUUUUUUGAGUUGAUGUCCGGUUAACUCGUAACACUAACUCAACCAAGGGUUUAAAUAAUAGUAUAGAUUAUUACAUUUUAAUUAAUUUUUAGAAUAAUUAUGUUUUGGAAUUAUUUCUAAAAAUAUGUUUUUUUGGUGCACCUCAAUAGUCAACACUAAUAACUCAUUUCCCUAAACUCUAGACCCCUAAUUUCAACAAAGUGUAUAAUUGUUGAAAUGUCCACUUGUUGGUCUAAGUGACAAACGCAAAGCACCAAGAUCAUUUUUUAUGCACUAAAUCAUCCACGGUGUUAUUAUAUUGGUUUACCUCAAAUCAAACAAUUUUUACUGAUCCCCAUUAUAACUACUACAAUAGAAAAUCUUACCCAUGCCCCUAAACCUAACAUUCAACUCGCUGAUUUUUGUUAAUCAUCGCGCUUAAACAAACCCAUAAAAAGUUUACAUGUAUAAUUGAAUAACCUUAACCUAUCUCCUUAAACCGUAAAUCCCCAGAGUUGUGGGUUGAGUAAGCUAGAAACCAUGGGGAUUUUUUUGAACUUGGCAUCUCUUUCAAAUAACAUAAAAACCCUAACUUAUUUUCCUGAAACUUAACCCUAAAACUUUAAUCCCCAAACGAAACCUUAAACACUAAAUAGAAACAUUUAAUAAAUUCCCAUCAAAUUCUUUCCUCUAAGGGUUUUUAUGUAUCCUCUAACUUCAAUAAAAAGUAACCUUAACUCUCAGAUUCAGAUGCCUUUUGUGAUAAUGGAUUUCUUCAAGUGUUGGAGCGCCGAUUGAGUAUAAAAGCUUCUUUUAACCUAACUUUAAAUAGGCUUUAGGGUUUAUGAUAAACCUUGUUUAUGAUUAGUAUGAAAGAUUUCACUAUAUCAAAACAAUGUUUCAACACUUAUGGAAAACCAUGAUCUAAAUCAAGAGAGUUCAAGUUUUCCGUGAUUGAAGUUAGAUUUUGGUUGAAAUCAUUGAUCUAAAAGUGAUAGUAGCCAGAAUAGGUUGGAGGAAAAUAGUUAUAAAGGACUUUAUCAAAAUUUUAAUUUAGGGUUUAAGGUUUGAGGGAAAAAGGUAAAUAUUUAAGGGUUAAAAGAUUUUGGUUUGGGGUUAGAAGGAAAAGGUUAAGGUUCAACUAUUGUUCAUUAGGUAAAUUGACUACGAUCUUGACACCCAUGGGUUGUUCAGUUUUAGUAUUAAUAAAAUGCAAACAAAUACAUAACAAACAAUUGUUCAUUUUCCAAAAUCAAAGCUAACCACUAUUUAAAGAUGUUGAGUUUAGUACCCUAAAUGUAGUAUAUUUAUUUUGUAUAAUUGUAUUUUUCGAGAAAAUUGGUUUAAUAAAAAUAUUCAUUGAUUACAUUAAUAGCCUUUGUAUAUUGUCCUCAACGAUUUUGUAUGCAAAGAAAAAUGGAAAUAAAGAUUGGUUCACUAGUUAUCUAACAUUUAACUAAUGCUAAAUGGUAUUACGUGGUCGGAUACUAAUACAAAAAAAUAACUUAUAUUAGUAGAUAAACCUAAAUAAGUCCUUAGUCUAGUUGGAAAUGAGCAAACUGGUUUAAAGACUUAAGUCGUCUACCAAGUCCAAUUGGGGAGAUGCUUUGUCUUGAGCAUCAAAACGAAGGACUCCCAGAAGAUAGAGACAUAGAUGUCACUGACUGGAUUGACAAUACAUUGGACAUGACCUAAGUAGGAUAGAUCUUAGAUUGUUUUAUGAAUUUAUUCACUUGAGACAUUCAUAGUGUGACAUACCUUAAUCUUGAGUGGAUGAUGGACUAUGUAUGUAUGACUCAUAUACUUUGAUGGAAGUAAAAGCCUAAAUUCAAAUAUAUAAGGAACCGAAAAAUCGGUAUAUUGCGUAUACGACUUCUACAACAUAUAGCAUCAUUCACUUUAGUGGAAUUCAUAGCUCAAAUAAUAAGUAAAUGAUAUCCUCUCAUUGGCAUUACAUGAUAGAUGAAAAGUAAACGUGGCCACGAGUCAUUUGUCUUUGUGAUAAAUGACUUGAUUACUAUUUAACAGUACUAGGGACUGCAAACCCUAGUAUAUUUAACUAGGGUUGUCGCCCCGCCCUCCAAUCCUAGUUAGACUAGGAUUAUGUUUUUCUAUUGAAAUAGACUUCUAAUAAUUCAACAAGGGUUUUAAUUCUUCUCCCUAUAAAUAGAUGGAAACGGUAAGGCUAAAUACCAAACUUUGAGAUAUUGUUAUUCUGCCCGAAAAUAGUGAGAAUUUAUUUUCUAAGUAUAAAUUCUAUUUUCUAGAAUAACAAUUCUACUGGUUUAUAUUAAAGAGAGAUUUUCUUUUCCACUAAAAGUAAAGUAAAUAAUUUCUGGUUCUGUGCUUUAUUUGAAUUUGUUCGAGCCCACAAUCGAAGUAGUUCGUGGUAUAGGAAUAACAAAGAAGGCCAUUCGAUUGAAAGCCAAGAAUGACAAGGACCCAUUUAGUCGAAAGCAUAAGUGCAAUUUCUGUAAAGGUUUUAUUGAUAUAACUAUCACAAAUCAGUUUGGUUUUCAAAAUUUAAAUUUUUCGCUAUGCAAAAAAACUGUUUUUAAAUCAAUUUUUUUCCAACAUUCAUAUUAACCAAGAAAUAAUAACUAGACUUGUGAAAGAUGAUACAUUAAGUUUGCUUAAGGAAAUUGAUAUUCCACAAUAUGAAUAUUGCUUGGAAGGUAAGAUGACUAAGUGAUCUUUUAAUGCAAAAGGAAUGAGGGUUGUCAAAUCUUAGAACUUGUGCACAUUGAUAUAUGUGGCCCCAAGAACGUCAGUGUACGAGGUGAUUACGAUUACUACAUAACAUUUAUAGAUGACAAUUCCAGAUAUAGGUAUGUAUACCUAAAGCAUCGUAAAAGUGAAACUUUUGAUAAAUUAAAAGAGUUUCGUGCAGAAGUGGAGAAAUAACUAGGUUUACCCAUAAAGACACUUCGGUUUAAUCAAGGUGGAGAAUACUUAUUGGAUGAGUUCUUUGGUUACCUCAUUGAGAAUGUAAUAUUAUCCUAAUUAACCGCGCCAAGAACUACACAACAAAAUGACAUGGCAGAGAAAAGGAAUCGAACCUUGUUGGGCAUGGUUCAAUUGAUGUUAAGUUAUUCAUAGCUUCGAGUCUCCUUUAGAGAUAUGUUUUACAAAUGACUUGCUACAUUUUGAAUGAUGUACCAACUAAGUUUGUACCUAAAACUCCAUACGAAAUAUGGAAUGGCAGGAAGCCAAGUCUAAAUCAUUUAAGGAUUUGGCGAUGGCCAGCCCACGUGUUGGAUAAAGAUGUGAGGAAAUUGGAUUCACAGAUAAAGUUGUGUAUGUUUGUGAGAUAUCCAAAAGGAAUAAAGGGUGGUUUGUUUUAUAACUCGAAAGAGCAAAUAUUGAUAGUGUCGACUUAUGCUCCUUCCUUGAGAGGAGUUACACGAACGGCUUUAAAUCUUGAAGUAAAGAAGUACUUGAUGAACUUUUAGGAAGUACACAAAUCCUUGGUUUCGAAUCCAACUCCUAAUAAUAGAUUUGUAAACAAUCAUCAACAUAAGGAGCUUCAUUGUAGUGAGAAGGUUUCUCGUAAGCCCGAGUUCUUCUAGUUUAGCAGAAGUGUUUUAAACACUGAGUUUUCUGAAUAGGCAGACAAUGACCAACUCACAUUUAAAAAAAUAAUGCAGAGUGCUGAUUCCAAGCUUUGGGAAAUAACUAUAAAAGCUGAGAUGAAUUCUAUGAAAUCUAGCUAAGUGGAUAUACAAGAAGAAAAUAAUGUGAAUGGAAAGUGGAAACUUAAAAGGCUAGACUUGUAGCAAAGGGGUAUACUCAGAAAGAAGGUAUCGAUUACGAAGAAACCUUCUUUUUGGUUUCCAUACUCAAGUCAAUCUGUAUAUUGUUAUCCAUUACGACGACUCUUAAUUAUGGAUCUGUCAAAUGGAUGCUAAGACGAUAUUCUUGAAUGACUAUCUUGAAGAGAGCACUUAUAUGAUGCAACCCACUCGAUAUAUAGCUAAAGGAAAUUAGCAUAAAAUUUACAAAUUGCUUAGAUUCAUAUAUGGACUUAAGCGAGCAUCAUGCUCAUGGAAUCAAAUAUUUGAUUAAACGAUCAAAACUUUUGAAUUUGAGCAAAAUAUUGAUAAACUUUCUGUUUAUAAGCAUAUUAAGGAUGGAAAGGUGGUCUUUCUUAUUGUAUAUGUCGAUGACAUUCUACUCAUUGGAAAUGAUUUAAGUACAUUGUCAUCGGUUAAAUUGUGAUUAACCCAACAGUUUAGCAUGAAGGACUUAAGAGAAGCUAUCUUUGUUCUAGGCAUUCGAAUCCUAAGGGAUAGAAAGAACAAAGUGAUAGCAUUAUCUAGGUACAUACAUAGACAAGAUAUUGAAAAUUUAUACGAUAACUGAUUCAAAAUUUAGUCAUUAUACUAUAGUGGAAUAACUUCACGACUAAAUAAGUUUAUAAUUAAUAGACAAAAAUUUGGACAUUAAUUAUAAAUUAUUUAAGCCCUAAUUACAUAUGUACAAUUGGUCCCCCCACUAGAUCGUUGAAACAAAAAAUUCAUUGCAUGUGGAACAAAAUGAAUAGAAAUGAAUGGAAAUGAUGAAGUCAGAUAAAUGAGUCACAUUAACAAAUUAAUGUGUUUUCUCACCAGGUAUAGAAAUGACUUGAGAAAUUAAUUUAAGGUUUUCGAAUGAUUAUUUAAUUAAUUAUAAUUAAAUAAUUGAAGUUAAAAAAUGAAAUGAAAUUAAUUUUCUAUUAUGAAUGCUUUGAAUAAUGAAAUUAAAUAUACUUCCUCAUAAAAUCUUUUACAAUAAAGUUGUUAUAACUUUAACGGAAUUAGAAUUGUGUUGAGAUAAUUAUUUAAUUGGGUAAUUAAUUUAGUUAAUUAAAUUAAUUAAUUAAUUAAUAUUUAUUUUUGAAAAUAGAAAAUAAACAUUAGGUUGGAUUAAAUCAUAAAGUGCUAGGUUAAAAGUUUAGGAAGCUCAUAUAAUUGAACCCAAUACAUGAGAGAUCAAAUUUGUCCCGUAUAACAUGUGAGCAACAGCAACCCAAAGGGAAUUUAAGAGGGUGUGUUGCCUCCUCUCUCUUAGUUAGACAAAGAGAGUGUUUUCUAUUAAAAAUAAUUGUUGAGUAUGAUUCUUAUUUCAGUCAAAUUUGAAAAAUAAUCUUCUAGUUAAACUCUGUUUAUUUGUUUCAAUCAAAUUCUGAUUAGUCUAGAUUAUUUUAUUAUUAUUUGACCUAUGAAUUUAGCCUAUAAAUAGGCUCUUUUACAACUUUAGAAAAUACACUCACUAGAGAUUAGAACUCAUAACACUUUUGGAGAAUUUUUGUGUUUACAUUUUGAGGGUUCUUUGUUUUUUGGGGUUUCAAGGUUUAGUUUCUAUCUCCAUCUUUGUACUAUUCGUUCUUUUGUCAUUAUAGUAAAAUUAUUUUUUCCUGCAGUCUUUUAUAUUCUUUGGAGGGGUUUUUCCACGUUAAAUUUGUGUGUUCAAUUUCUCAAUUUCUUCCGGUAUUUUUACUUGUUCGUUGCUUAAUUAGAUCGAUCCCCAACAAUAACAUUAUUUGUUUAAGCCUUAUUCAACCAAGAUUCUUCUAUCUCUCUCUAUAAAUAGAUAGCACCGUUUGACUUAAAAAACACACUUAUUGGUUAUUAAUUUAUCGUUAUUCUACCAAAAAAUAGUGAUAAUUUAUUCACUUAGAAUAAAUUAUAUUUUUUUGGAAUUACGAUUUUUACCAAUUUCUUGAGAGAAUUAUUUUCCUACUGAAAGUAAUAAUAAUUUCUUGUUCGUUGUUUGGUUCGUGUUUAUCGAGCCCACGCUCAACCCAAAUCCAUCUUGCACAAUGUAUAGGUACUUUUCGGUAAAACGUUUAUUGCUAUAAAUAUCAUAAAUCGAUUUAGUUUUUAAAAUUUUUAGGCUGCUGCUAUAACUAUAAAUCGUUAUAAGGGAUUUUGAAAAACCAUAUUUUUAAGUGGGAUCGUGCGUAUUAAAUCAAAUAAAAUUAUGAAGAAUUUUGAAAAACCACAUUUUUAAGUGGAAUUGGAAAAAGGAAAUUGAGCUACUGAGAUCCCCUCUUGAAAUUACUUAUAAAUUCUGAAAUUCUUUAAUAUAUUUACCCAAACAAAUAAAUUCAUUUUUAUAAAUUUAAAAAUCUUGAUAAAAAUAAAACCCCUCCUAUAAAUCCCUCACCCAAACACACUUUUAAGUACCUAUGCAAGUUGAGAAGCAAAUGAUGACAAGGACUCAUCACUUACAAAUGAUCCAUUAGAAUGUCUGACUGACAUUACACGUGUGUGCAUAAAACAACAAAUUUAUAAAAAAAAAUUUAGAGCAAGGUUUUACCGCAAUGCAGGUUAGUUGUAAUAUUUGUAGUGUUACAAUGGAACACCGAAAUAUUCCAAGGAUCGAACUUAAAGGAGUUGGUGAUUUAAUGAUCUGCCACGAAUUAUUGACCGCCUUCGGACAUACUAACAUCUAGAGUGUGAAUAUUGCAGCAAAAGAUAUAUAUAAAUGAUGCGGUAUCUGCAAGUAUACGGGUCAGGUUGUAAUAUAGUUACAACGAAGUAGGUGAGUACUCUGAAGAUCGUACCCAAAGGAGGCUAGUACUAGCUCAAUUUCAACCUAAAUACCAAAAGAUCUAAUUAGUACUUGAAAUAAGUUAUAUUACGAAAAUAUAAAUAAUCACUACACCAAAACAGGUCUUUAGCGGCAUUUUUUAGGCCUUUAGCGGUGCUUUUUAACGCCACUAAAAGUAUUUGCGGCGCUUCCACAAGUGCCGCAUAAAAGGCCGCUAACGAAAACGUCGCAAACGUUUGCAGUGUUUACAAACAAAAACGCCGCUAAAGAUCAUGUUCUUUAGCGACGCUUUUCCCACAAACGCCGCUAAAGAACAUGACCUUUAGCGAUGUUUCUUUCACAAACGCCGCAAAAGAACAAACCUUUAGCGACACUUGUAGCAAAAACGCCGCAAAAGACAUAAGCUUUAAAAAAAAUUAUUUUAAUCAAAUAACAUUUAUUUUUAUGAUAAAUAUUAUAUUAUGUUUUAUUUUUUAAAUUUGAACUUUAAAUAUACUUGUUAAGGAUAAAUAAAAAAAUAUUAUUUAAAUUAAAUUUUCUAUGAAAAUUUUAACUUUAAAACUAAAUAUAAAAAUUAAUGAAUUUAGUUUUAGAAUUUAAAAUAAUAAAUUAAUAACACAAUUAAAAAAUAAGAAAAUUUAGAUUCCUAGAGUCAAACCAUAAUGAUUUUCUCGUAGAAGUAAGAAACUAAAAAGAAAGAAAACUAUGAAUGAAGUAGAUAUCAUAAAAAGAAAUCCGCAGGUGAUUUUCUAGCAAAACAUUUUUACAUGAUUAGUUCAUAAAAUCCACAUCUUCAUUAUACAAGAGAAAGGACAUUACAUAUCUAAAAGAACAUAAAAGGCUUUGCACAAAUAGGGUGAAAAAAGCUAGAAAGGAGGUACAAAAUUGUACGUCUUUAUCAAGUAGGAAGAAGUUCUGUGCAGCUGUUUCUGCAUUUCCUGUCAUCCUUACAACAGCUUGAACAGCCAUGCUAAGAACACCAAGCCCUGCACUGGAAGCCAGAAAGAAAAGUUUUUAUGAGAAAUAAAGCUGUGAGGAAAUGGAUGCAAUGAGCCAAAGAAAAAUUAUGGUGAAAGAUUGAAAGACCAAGCUUUAUAAGUCAACCAAAUACCUUCCAGCUCCCACCACAACAAUCUUGUGGUUUGGAAAAUCAUCCAAAGAUCAACCUUGUGCUCUUACAGUUCUUAACAAUCCAGCAAGUGCAACUCCAGCAGUUCCCUAAGAGAAUUAAGUAAGCACAACUUUCUAAUAUUGGUGGCAUUCAUAGUGAUGCUGCAGCAAUCUAAGUUACACUAGAAUCUAAUCCUAUCCAUAAAAGUAGCAACUUGCUGGGCCAAGUGCUCACCUGUACGUCAUCAUAACAUGCAAAACCUUUCCCGAUAGCGUUUCAGAGUUUCAAAGGCCCACUUCAUUUGAAAAUCCUCAAACUAAAUGGGGUAACCAUCAAAUAAACAUCAUGGUAUAAGCAUAAAACAAAAGUCUUACUUCUGAAAGAGAGAAACCUGUACAAUAGCCUUAGGCCAACGUGUUAAAACCGCUUCGAUGAACUCAUCAAUAAUUGAUAAAUAUUUUUCCCCUUCUAACCUUGGUUGUCUUAGUCCUAAAUCUGUCCAAACCCCCAAAGAGAAACAUGUCAAAAGAAAUCUCCACAAUCGGUAAAUAAAACAAAGUACCACCAAGCAUUUCAUAUGUUCCAUUCUAUGAAUAACAAAGUAAAUAAGCACAUAUUUUACUCACAAAGCGGGUCUUCAAUUAGCUUUAGAUUGUUAGUACCAACAUCUAGCAUAACUGGGAGUAUAUGUCAGAGACAAAUAUUGAUUUAAUAAUUAAAGUUCUAACACAAGACAAGAGUAGGUUCUAGGAUUUCCAAGUCUAUACCUUGUCAAGAAUUUUUAUAAUGAAUGUUCUACAACCCAAUUAAAGCAUUACUUUCUUUAAGCCUGCCUGUUGGUUACUGUGUCUGUAUGGCAGGGAUUUAGGUUGUGGAUGUCUAAGCUUAGGCUUGCUUUAUAUUUUAAAUAAAAAUAAAAAUCAACAACCAAAGCAUGCAAUUCAUUAAGGAUGAGCAAGAAUGUGGCUUACAUUGAUUAAACAUUUUUCUAGAGGAAUAGAUGAGGUAUUAAUAUGGUUAAAAUAGCCUAAAAAUACAAGAGAUUAUAUGAGAUAACUCAUAAAAUCGAUGCCCUUAAACCACAUAUCACAAGAAAAGCAUAAAUUUCACAAAACAUGGAGAAAGUUGCAAACAACGAACAAAGAGAACCCAUUUUAUUAAAUAACUACACAAAUAUAAAUAAAAGGAAAUACCUUGCAUCUGAGCUGAAGAGGAAUCCAAAAGAAGCAGCAGCUAGAAUAAAAGAAGUGAAAAGAGAAGCCUUUUCUCCAUCUCCAUGGUGAAGGCAACAAAUGGUAAAAUGAGAGACCAUGAAAAAGAAAAGAAAUGGUGGCAAAAAGAAAGCAACAGCAGCUUAAAAAACAAAGAGAGCUCUUUGUGACUGUAUAUAUAUUAAAUACAAAACCCAGAAAAGAAAAAAUAAUAAAAAAUGUAUAUCUGGUUUUGGUGCUCUUUAGAAAUAGUAAAUUUCAAAUUUAAGAAGUACCCAUAUUAUGCAAUUAUACUUUGAAGUCAGCUUGAUUAAGGAUAAAAGAUCCAUUCCACCAUUAGUUUUAUAAUAUACAGCUUGUCAUCAUCAACUAAUCUUCCCUUGUGUUUUACUAAAAAGAAUCAUUUGUAAUUUUUGUAUUUCAUAAGAAUUGCUCUAACCAGUCAAAGAAAUCCCUACAUAUCAACUCAUUAACAUGAUUCUAAUUAUUUUUGUACUGAGGAGGGGCAUUUUCUGAUUUAUAUAAUAGAGUUUUUAGAUUUUAUAAAUAGGGUUAAAAUAACAAAUAUGAAGUAAAUUGUGAAACUUUAAAAACCAAGGGGUCAUAAAGCAAACUAUAUGGGGGAUUUUAAAUUCACUUAACAACAUUAAGAAAAAUAAGUCUGGUUGAAAGUAAUGGAGCCAGGAGAGAAGAGAAAAACCUGUUCAGCAAUGCUAGCUGCCUCAGCAUAAGCAUCUUGGAUGUUCUCAGCAAGCCUAUGAAGAAAUAUAUUAGAUAUGCCUCCAGCAGCAACAAUGAAUGGACCAGUAGCUAGUGUUAUGAGAACAAUCUCCCAACAAUUGAUAAACCAAUAAUAUGAUCAAAUUAUAACCCCUUACAUAUGAUCAAAUUAUAAAUCACUAUAAAGGAAAAUUAUGCUUUGGCCCCCUCAAAAAAUGGAAAAAAAGUAUACUUAAUCCUUUCAAAAAUUAUAAAAUCAUAAACUAAUAUAUGAUAAAAUAUAUAUUUGACAUCUCAGAAAAUUACAAUUCAAUUUUGGCCCCUAAAAUAAAUUAUGGAUUCGCCCCUGCAUACACAAAUGCCAUUGCAAAAAUAAUAUCUAACACAAAUCACUUCAAAAGAUAUUGUAAUUGGCUGGCCUCUAUUGACAUUCAAAGAGGGCAGCAACUACAUAUUCCAAUAAAAAAUAAUGAACCAUAAUAAACCCAAAGAUACAACUUUUAAAACUAUAAAAACAAUGAACCAGUAAUAUAAACUUUUAGCUUUGAUGCAUUUGCUUGAGAGACAUCAUCGAGUUAACAAUUACGUCCAAUGAAACUAAAACCAGUAACAGCUAAAAUCCAAAUACCUUUUGGGGCCAUUGCUUGCUGUAAAAAAAGAGUUCAAAAAAAUGGCGCAUCGAAGCUGUCAGUCAUUUAGAAAAAAAAUGAAAACCCAAAACAAGAAUGAUAAAAAAGAAUUGAGAGGGUAGCCGGCAAAGGCAAACCUACUUGCAAUUGUAGAGACUACCUCACCCAUCUGAAGCCGAUCUGUUCGAAGAUGAUCAAAAUAGAGAGAAAAUACGAAAAGGGAAAGCAUCCACAAACUAGCAAAAGUAGAUUAAGGUAAAACAAAAGGGCAAGUCAAAUUUACUAUAAUUAAAACCAUUUAAUCCAAAGGGCUUUGGGGAUUUGCCUUUCUAUUUUUGCCAAACAAAAAACUGAAAAUUUUGUAGCUGAAUUACAUGCCAAAAAUACUCGCCUUCACAAGCCAUAAGGGCAACUUAGCUGCUUUUGUUUUUCCGACUCUUCUUCUUCCUUGAUGUAAAGCUGCUCGGUCCGAUUUCUAUUUGAGGGAUUUCAGCUGAAGAAAAAAAAACUUUUAUUUGGGGGAUUUAGGGCGCACGACGGAGAUGAGAAGAAGAGGGAGUAAUGAGCGGGUAACCAAAAAAUCAUUUUUUGCAAUCCAUGUCACCAAACAAACCCCAGUAAAUUUAAAAAAAAAAGGCAUGAAAUUUAAAAUUAAAAAAAAUAACAUGCAUAUCAGUAGAUUCUUGAACCUCUUCUGCUGCAGAAAAGAAGGCAUCUUUUUUCCACAAAUCAAAACUAUUUGCAAUCGUCAUGUUCUUCACCGUUCAACAGCUUAAAACCCAAAAAAUAAUUCGCUUUUUUUGAACGCGCAUACACACACACGCACCAAAAAAAAAACACUAACAAGAGAUUUGAAUUUUUUGGUGGGUUUUCAUUUGUUUACUUUGAUUUCUUUGCUUUCUCUUCUUUGCUAAGGAAAUUAUAGAGAAAGCAGAGACAUGGCUAAGCCAAAGAAGAGAAAGAAAGACAGACAGAGAAGAGAAGAGACGUACAAACGAUUCUUUUUAUUUUUUUAGUCAAUAUCGGAGUUUAAGAAUUGGGGUUGAGGAAGAAAAGAUAGCAAUGGGCAUGGAGUUAAAAGUUUUAAAGGGCGGUAUGUUUGUGAUGUUGGGGGUUUCAAGGGAGGAAAUUAGGGAUUUUAGGGGGGAAGAAAGAUAAGGAUUUAGGGGGAUUUUAUAAAAUGGCGCAAUUUUUUAAAAGUAAAAUUGUUUUUUGUGUCAUUUUUUAUAAAAACACUGCUAUUGUUUACUUUUUGCGACAUUUUUCAUAAAAACGAUGCAAAAAAUUAUUUUAUUUAGAAUAAAACGAUACUGUUUUGCUAUAUAAAAUGGCGCUAAUUUUUUAAACUAAAAUUAUUUUUUGUGGCGUUUUACUGCUCACCUUUUGCAGCGUUUUUAUGUAAAACGCCGCAAAAAAUUAUUUCAUUCGGAAUAAAAUGACACUGUUUUGCUAUGCUAAAAAUCUCGCUAUUUUUAAAGUAAAAUUAUUUUUUGUGGCGUUUUUUAUGAAAAAUCUCGCUUAUUUUCAGCGGCGUUUUCCAUAAAGCGCUGCUAAUAAUCGAUCUUUAGCGGCGUUUUUUAUCCAAACGCCGCUAAAAGCUUGUUUUGGUGUAGUGAAUAGAGAUUUUUGAGGGUUUUUUAUAAUAAUGAAAAUAUGACAAGUAAUUAAGUAUUGAGAAAUUGAAAAGUGAAAUUAAUCAAAUCUGAUUAUGGGUGAUUAGCUCACUUCGGUAAUCUUCAUCAAUUGUCGCUUUAGGUUCCUCAUCAAUCAACUAGUUGAUAUCCUUGCAGAAUCUUCCAAUGCAUCCACUAGAACAAUAAGUCAACAAUGACUACUUAUCUUCUGACCUUACAGUCUAGACCGGUUUGGGGUGAAAGUGUUUACAGAUAGGCCAUACCAAUUUUAGGUUAAUUUCCAUCUUGAUAACUUCCUAGGGUCGUCAAGCCUAGGUUUUACGUUCUUCUUUUCCCAAACAACGGAUCCGUUAAGUAAUCCUACAAAACAGUUAAUAUAUCAUAGCUCCACUCGCUAAUCCCCCAUAAAAGGAUUAGUUCCUCAUGGUUUUCGUAAACAAUAUAAAGUUGAUAUAAGGCGUAAACAUGAUAAUUGAAUCGAAAGUAUAAAGUUUAAGAAAAAGCCUGAUUUGUAUUACAAAGAAGAAUGAAUCCACAAAGUUUAAUCGUAUCCACAAGUCAUAUUUCCUGAGAUAAAACAAAGAACAAGUUGAAAUAAAUCUAAAACCUAAGAAAAGAUAAAUACUAAACUAAAAAUAAAAAGAGAGAUUCUAAGCUAAGUAAUCAGUGUCUAUAACAUGUGCCAAAUGAGCCUAUUUAUAGAUUUGAGGUGAUCGUCGUCCUUAACCCUAGGUUAGCUGACAUUCCCGAACUUUAAGUUGGAUUGUGCGGACCAAAAUGCCCCCUGGCUCGUAUUAAUUCCCAUUAAGAGUCGAUGUUGCGACACAUCAAAACCUGUGUCGCGACAUAAAAGUCAGUAUACUUUUCUUCAAAGUGUCUUCAGGGGUAUGUCGCCACAUCCUUAGGCUGUGUCGUGACAUCAAAGGCAAUCUUAGAAUUCCUCCAUUCUGCUCCCUAUGUUGCAAUAUCGAAUCCUCUGUGUUGCGACAUAGUGACUAGUAUCAGUUUAGCACGCCUUCUAAUGGUCUCCUAUAUACUCACAAAGUUCAUUAGCUCACCCUUAGACCUCAUUCGACCCCUAAGGUCAAUAAAAGACUCAAUUUAUACAUUUUAUUGAAUUUAAUUAAACUUACUAAAACAUAACUAAAAUCUAAUGAUAAUGCUUAUUUUCAAGCUCUUAAAGUGCAAAAAUUAGUUUAAUCUACUACACCCAAUUAUGACCGAUCAAUUAUAUUAUUAUUUACAUCACUUUUUACACAUAAUUUUAGCUUGUUUAAUAGUAAAUAAAAUUAUCUUAGUAUAUAUUUAUGUUUUCAUACUUGAAGUAAUGAUGUAUGCUUUUUAGUAGUUUUUAUUACAUUUUAGAUAUAUAAAUAUGGUUGCAUGGUCUUGUAGGACAAUCCGGGAGCAAAAGAUGCAUAUUCAUGAUGGAACUGUUGCCUAUGUCGCGACACCAACACACCGAUGUCGUAACAUCAAAGACAAAAGCAAAAACAAGUCAUGGAGCGAAACUGCUUGGUAUGUCGUGACAUAGCCUUACUAUCUUGGAGAGAAGACCUAAUAAAUUGUACAUAAAUUGAAACCUUGAACUCUUCCUUAUCCUUGGUCUUUUAAUACAUUACAAAAUAGACGUUAGGCUAUAGAUAUUGAGGGUUUAGGAAUAUACAUCAUGGUGGUUUCAAAAAAACUUAGAGCGAAAAAGGAAGAAACAAUAUGAUACAAUGAUUAUAGGUCAAGCAAAAAUGUGCGAAAAAGAAAAAUAUAGAAAAAGUAAAAGGUAAAAAUAAGAAGAAAAAGUACAAAAUAAAAGCAAAAGCAUUAUGAGUGAGAAAAAAAAGUAAAAUGUCAAGUGGCAAAACAAAAAGUCACAAAAGUGAGAGAAAAACUCAGUCAUCAAUGUACAAAAACUCGUUGAGCCAACCAUAGUUAUUAGUAUUAUAUUGUAUCUUCCUUCAUGGGGAGAUAGGGAAGGUGAGAGAGGGAGAAAAAAGACGGUGAGCUUGAAAGGGGCACCUAGAGGGAGAGAGGGAAUAAUGUCAUGUGCCUAACUAUUUCUAGCGUUUGAACUAUUUUGAGCCAUAUCUUUCUUUGAACUCGUACAGUCCUAAGCCUCAGAACAUUACAAGCCUAAAAGACCAAUGUGACUUAAGCGUUCUCUGUGCAUAAUCUUCUAGUAUUGCUAAUGUAAUGGCCUAAAUUCAAGGUUAGCGGAAUAGUGGUUUCGUAACCAUAAAUCUGAUUCAAAGAGAAAUUUAUUUUAAUAUUUUGCAUGAAUAUUGAUAUGAUAGGAAAACCGUAUGAAAAUAUUGAUAGAAAAAUUUUACCGAUUUAAUGGUUAGUUAGAAAAAGAAAUUAUUGAAGAAAUUGGGUAAAAAUAAGGUAUCGGGACAUUGAUCUCGUAAAACUGAGUCAGAAAUAUUUUUAUAAAUAUUUAUGAAAUGUAAGUGUGGUAUUAAAAUUUUGUUGUAAAUCAUGAGAUAUAUUAAAUUUUGUGAGACAAGGUCAGAAUGAAUUCGAAUUCCCCUGUUCUAAAUUUGAAAAAUCAUUAAAAAUUGGAGAAAAAUAUUUAGGGGGUUAAAAUUUACAUAUUUAAAUUAUUAAUGAGUCUAUUUUUAAUAGAAACAAACGGAAAUAUCAUCCAAAUUUUGUACUAAGAGAUAAUUAAUUUUUAGCAAAGAAAGGUCGAAGUUGUUAGACAGCAGAACAAGGGUAAGUUUGAAGAUUUUACUGUACUCAUUGGCUGAACCAAAAAUUCUGAAAAUUUUAUGCUGAAAAGAUAUUUGACUGUAGUUUCAGAAACACCAACCGGUUUUUAAUUUGGAAUUCUGUAACUUGAGAUAUAAAUAAUUUAAUGACUACGACUCAAGUAGACAACUUUGAGUGAACUGUAAAUAAUAGUGGAAUUAUAGAGAAUGUUACAUAUGAACAUGAAAUGUAUUAAAUUGAUGAUUAAAUUUAUUUAUUUAGAUCCAGAAAAUUCAAAUAUGAAGCUAGAUCGAGGAAAGGAAAAAGUUUAGGAUUAGUAGAUUUUUGUAUACGAACAAGUAUCGAGGUAAGUUUGUGUAACCUGAAUUAUAUUCUUAAAUGCUUGAAAUGUAUAUUAUUAAUGUGAACAUGAUUUAAAUGUUCAUUGUAUGAAAAUUGAUGAGACAUUGAUAUAUUUGAUAAAAAGGGGGGAAAAUUCCGGUUGAAUAAAAGGAAAAUUCGAUGGAUCUUUAAAAAGGAAUUGACGGUAAAGAAAAUAUCUAUCUCGGACAGGUGAUCCUACCCUGAUAUAGCCCUCUCGAAGAAUAUGUGUCAAAUAGAUUUAGCUCAGACGGGUAAUCCGAAUUAGGGUCUGAAUUUAGCCUGGACUGGUAAUUCAGAUCCAAGCUCAUUAGAGUAAAUUGUCGUUGUAGGGGAUUUAGCCUAGACUUGUAAUCCCAACAACACUCUAUAAGUUUAUAUUACGAGGGAUUUAGCCUGGACUAGUAAUCCUGCUGUAAGGAUGAAGUUCGCAGGAGUGUACUCUCUGAAAUGGAAAUGUGUGCACAUGAAUAUGAAUUGACGGACCCGAAAUAGUACGCUAAAAGUGUACCUCUAAAAAUCCAUUGAAAUUCUGAGAAAUUCAACGGGAUAAAUAUGAGAAAUAAUAAGGGUAAUAGAAAACAUGGAAUUGAUGAGCUCAUCAAUCAUUAAUCUUUGUAUUGAACUCAUAUGAUGCUAUUUGAUUAAUGUUUUGGUUGAGUUUGUGUGAUAGGUAAAUGGUAAAUUGAAUGGAUGUAUGAAUAUUUAUUGUAUUGUAUUGGAAAUAUUAGGUAAGUAUAAUUCUUGUUACAUGAGUUUACUAAGCACAACGUGCUUACCCUGUUUCCUUUUUCCCUGAUUUGUAGUAUUAAGAGCUCGAAGGUUGGAUUCAGUCGGAGACACAUCACACUAUCAACUUCAACAUUUUGGUAUAUCAAGAAACUUUAUUUUGGAAUCACUGACGUGUAUAAGUUGAUAAAGUAAAUGUUAAUGUGAAAUGAAUGUAAAGUUAGCCAUUGGUAUGGCUAUGAAAUCCUGGUUUUGGUAUGUGAUGAGGUUAUCUUAUGGAUAUGCGUAAAUCUAUCUUGAAAAUAUGUUGAAUUGGGUUGGUUGAUUUAAUUUGAUAUCGGUGUAUGUUUUGGGCUUCGGAGGCUCAUCUAAGGGACGUCAUAAUAUGUUUCAAUAAAAAAAUAGUAUUUAACUCGUAAUAACGAAAAAAAUUAAUUUGGAAAACUCUGGUAAUGCCUCGUACCCUAUUCCGGUGACGAAUAUAGGUAAGGGGUGUUACAGCUAACAAUUGUACUUAAUGAAAAAUUUUUAUUCACAUGGUUGUAUCUACUCAAUAUCUAUUUGAUUUCUAUUAAUGGUGAUAUUGUUAAACAUUUGGUUAUAAGAAUUGCUUCUAAUUUAUUAGUAAUGUAACUUUGUAAACUAAUCUUAGUUUACUUUAAAAAGUUUUCAAUGCAUCGAACUAUCAAGAUUAAGUUGCAUGUGCGACAAAAUUUUUUAUAGAUUUACUAUUUGACAACCAUGUUCGUAGUAGUAAUAAAUUCCAAGGGACGUCUUCUUUUUGCAUACUAUAUGUCUAAACUUGGUUAGCUUGAGGACAAGCAAAAAGUUAAGUGUGGGGGAGUUAGGUGUGAGAUUCUUAUUUACAUCCAUCUUCACUAACUUUAGCUUGUUUAAAUAAAGAAAUCAAGUCAUUUUCGUAUUAUUUUUUUUUCUUUUUCCCAUAUAUGUGUUUUGGUUGCUUGAGGACAAGCAACAAGUUAAGUGUGGGGGAGUGAUCUACCAAGAAUUAUACUAUUAUUUACAUCCCUUUUUAUACAUAAUUGUAUCUUGUUUAAUAGUAAAUCAAAUAUCUUAGUAUAUAUCUAUGUUUUCAUACUUGAAGUAAUGACAUAUGUUUUUUAGGAGUUUUUAUUACAUCCUAGAUAUCUAAAUAAGGUUAUAUGGUCUUGUGGGACAAAUCAAGAGCUAAAGAUGCAUAAACGGGCCAAAAAUGAUGCCUAUGUCGUGACACCAAGACACCGAUGUCACAACAUCAGAGACAAAAGCAAAACAAGUCUUGGGGUGAAACUGUUUGCUAUGUCAUGACAUAGCAGGCACCAUAUUCGAUUUUGCAACACUACAUGCCUAUGUUGCAACACCACUUCUGCGCAGUCCAAAAGUCCUAGUGCGUGACAGUUGCAUUUUUUAGGGAAAUUAGGAGUAUUUUUCCUAGUCAAACUCUAAGCACUUCAAGGAUAGUUUAGGCACUUUAAUAUUCUGAGUUUAGCCUAUAUAAAGGCCAUUGUAAUAAGUUCAAACACACAAUUUUAAGGAGACAAAAAUUAUUCUUAGGUUUUUAUUUCAUUCUUAGUUUCUACUUAGUUUAUUUUAUGUUCUUGUAAUCGAAAGAUCCUAUUUCAAAGUGAGAAUUUUGCGAGCGGAGAUUGUUCGGAGCCAUACUUUCAUCGAUAAAUCUAUGAGCAUCUCUUUCCUUUAUUUUAUUCUUUAUAUUUCUUUCUUUAACAUUGUUAAUUGAAUGUUUGUGUAAAGAUUAGAAUCAAUAUACUUUAUAUAUAUUUUGCAUGUUUCAAUUGUACUAAUCUUAUUAAUUGAUUGAUUGAUAGAGUUCAUUUGGAUUGGUUAGAUUUGGUUGAGUGUUAUUAAACCCUAGGAUUGACAACCCUAAGAAGUCAUCUAGGUAGGAAUUAACUUGAAAUUGGUAUUGCCUACAAAGCAUCACUUAGCAGAUCUAUGGUUAGAGAAGGAAGAACUUAAACCCUAUGAUAGACGAUCCUAGGAAGUCAUAUAUGUGUGAAUUAACCCGAAUUCGAUAUUGCCUAUCCAUGAAAACCUUACCCUACCCCGAUCUAGACUGCAUCAUUGAGAGGUGAGUAGUUCUUGUCGUCUAGUUAGGUUAGUAGAAGUUGAGAAGCCCUGCUAGGUUAAUUAGUAACCAACUAUUUAGAUCCCUACAUCAAUAAUUAAUUAGGUAAAACAAUUGGAUCUAGGCAUAAGGAACUCCCGUAGUCGAAACAAGGGAUAAGAGAAGUUGAUACAUGAACUUAGGAGUACAUUUAAGUUUAGUUCAAUUUAUUUGGUUAUUAUUAUCAUCUUACUUGCAGAUUAACACUACUAAUUCGUACCUUUAGUAGAUUAGUAGUUAUUUUCGGUAAUUUUCUUAAUAGUAGUUUUGUUUUCCAAACUGCACAAUCUUUUGAAUACUUACCAAGUAUUUCAUUGUAAACAAACUAUAUUACAACCUGACCCGUAUACUUGUGGACACCACCUCAAUUCCAUAUAUUUUGUAACAGUAUUCAUACUCUCAAUGUUGGUAUGUCAGGAGGCGGUCAUUUAGCGAUUUCUAUUCAAAAGUGCAUGCAAGUAAGGAGUCUAGCUAGCUACUCACUAAUUGCUAUAGUACGAUAAACCAUUAAUGAAGUUAAUUAAAGCUAAUUACUUAUCUAAGAGAAAAAGGACUAAAUUGUAAAUAACGUAAAAUAGAAAACUACUAAUUACGAUAAUAGACAAUGGAUGGUUGAUUUCUAUGUUGUUAAUUAACCUCGAAUUAGGGAUCUAAAUUGCUCUCACUCCCAAGUUGGCUCAAUUUUAUCUUUCGAUUUCAAUUUUAUCGACUUAGACGAAUUAGUUCCAAUUUCACCGAUUAAUCUAGGACUAAUGGACGGAUGCACAACAAGAUUACCUUUCAGUCUCACUUGCCUAAAUAUUCCCUUAGGGGAGUCACUUCCUAAGUUUUUAGAUUUAUUCAAUUUAUUCUAAUUUUGCAAUUUAGUCCCCGAACUCAAAAACUAAUUAAACAACAUUUUCAUCAACCAACCACCUAGGAUUUAGUUACCCAUUACCAUAUUAAAGCUAACAAACAUGAAAGAAACAACUAUGGAACCCGUUAACAUAAACUUGAACAAAAAGAUAAAAGCUUUGAUUUUUAACUUAAUAAAUUUAAAUAAAAAGCAACUAACACAAAGAUAAAGAAACAAGAACACUAAAGAUGAGAGCUUUAACAGAUGAAAAGAAAGAAAACUCAUAUAGCAUUAACUCGAAGAUUAAAGAGUGAUUACAACUAAGUUUAAAGUAUUUAACAUGUAAAUAAAAAUAAGCUAUAGCAAAAACUAACUUAACUAACAACUAUAAAACUGAGUAAAACCAGAAAGAAAACUAACAACUAACUUAACUAACUUAACUAACAACUAUAAAACUGAGUAAAACUAGAAAGAAACAUAAACUAAAACCCUGAAACUAUAGAGAAGUAAACUACCCUACUCCUAAGUUAGAAGAUGUAAGAAACCCUAAAAUUAAAGAGCUUUCUAACCUAAAACUACAACUUUUUUUUCUUUUCUCAACCGAGAGUGGCUUUUAAUAGUUGAUUUUUGACCCAAAAAAUGUUGCCUAAAUUUUACACAUCAAUUUGUGGUAGAUCAAUGACAAAGGGUCUAUACACCACAAUUUGGUCUAUCUUUGUUUCUCCUAUGUCUCUCAGCUUGUCAUUACCAUUCAAGUCAUUCCCAACCUUACCAUGUGAAGUACUAUUUUUAUCCUUCAACUUUAAUUGUGCAUGUGAAUGCCAAGAAGGUCAUUUGUCUUCUAAAUUUGAGGCUUAAAUUUGUUUCUUUGACUGGACCCAAGAAGAUUGACUUUGACAAGCAUCAUUAUUUAAAAGUACACCUAUGAUAGCUUUUCCUUCAGACCCAAAAUUCUAGUUAAUAGAAGUUGAACCAAGUAUUUUGUAAUUGGUGAUGUCAUAUCCUAUUAAUGUAGCAUGCUUCCACCCACCUAUAGAAAGAAUUAUAAUCUAUUCUAAGAUGGUAAUUCAUGCAACAACUCGUACGUCUGGUGAACAGGUUAAAUGCUAGAAUGGUGCUCUGUCAAUUGUUGGAUUAUCAAAUAAAAAGACUUUGGCGAAAUAUAUGGCGAACAGUCCAAGUGUAAGGCAUAAUGGUAGGCAAUCUAACCACCAACUGCAACAAGUUGUCAACUUGUUCCGGAAAGCUGCUAGAUUAUUUUAUUUAUCUUUAUUUUGAUAGGUUAAUGUAAACAGUGCUGAUUAGACAAAAAUCAGCUAAUUAGUAAGUUCCAUGUAUUUAGACUUACCAACUUGUCAAGUUGCAGUUGGUACUUUUCUAUUUAAAGCUAUACAUUUGAUUGAUAAUCUUUGCUCUGUCUUCUCUCUUCCUUUGUAUCAAAAACCAACAAUUGGUAUCUAGAGCCAGUCAUCUUUGAGGGCAUUUGAUUUAUUAAGAAAGAAAGAACAACCUAUGUUUCUUUAUUGUUUUGUAAAAAUGUCUUCAACUAGUUUUACACCUCCUGCACCACCAGUCUUUAAUGGUGAAAACUACCAUAUUUUGGUAGUCAAGAUGAAGACCUACCUACAGCCUUUUAACUUAUGGUAGGUUGUUAAUGCAGAUGUAGAGCCACCACCAUUAAGAACCAAUUCGACAAUAACACAGAUUAGGCAACAUAAUGAUGAUCGUGCUAAGAAAUUUAGGGAUAUGUCAUGUACUCAUAAUAGUGUUUCUGAUGUGAUUUUCACCAAAAUUAUGGCCUAUGAGACUCCAAAACAAGCUUGGGAUAAGCUGAAGGAAGAGGUUCAAGGUACAAAAAAAUAAGGCAGCAACAAAUUAUCAACUUGAAGAGAGAUUUUGAGAACUUAAAGAUGAAGGAGUCUGAAAUUGUUAAACAGUAUUCUGACAGAAUCAUGGUCGGUAUAAAUAACAUAAGAUUGUUUAGAGAUCAAUUUCUUGAUAGUAGGGAAGUUGAAAAGGUGAUUACUACACUUCCUAAGAGGCACGAGUCAAAAAUAUCCUCUCUUGAAGAUUCGAGAGACCUAUCAACAAUCUCUCUAUCAUAACUAAUAAAUGUCUUGUAUGCUCAAGAGCAAAGGAGAGUUUCAAGGUAGGAGGAGCAUGUUGAGGGAGCUUUUCAAGCAAGAAAUAAGGAAGGCUUGAGCUCCUCUAACAAUAAAGGAAAGAAAAGUUAGUCAGAAAAGAUAGAGAAGUCAAGGAGAGAAGGUGUAAAGAAGAAAUAUCCAUAAUGCUCUCGCUGCAAAAGGAUUACUCAUUUUGAGAAGUUUUGUUGUUUCAAACCAGACAUACAAUGCAGAGCUUACAAGCAGUUUGGACACAUAGAGAAGGUUUGCAACAAUAAGGUGCGAACCCAACAGCCACAACUACAUCAGAAUAUCUAGGCUUAGGCAACUAAGGGAAAUCAUGCUCAGGAAGAGCAAGUGUUCGCAGCCUCUUAUUUUGCACCUAUAAACAAAAUCACAAAAGGUUGGCUAAUCAACAAUGGAUGCACCAACAUAUGACCUCAAAUGAAAGCAUUUUCAAAAAGAUUGAUAAAAGUUGCAUUUCAAAAGUGAGGGUUGGAAAUGGCGAACUCAUACAAGCCAAAGGCAAAGUAGAUGUACUGAUCAAUACACUAUCAGGUACAAAAGUAAUUUCAGAUGUUUUUUUAGUGCCUGAAAUAUAUCAUAAUCUCCUUAGCAUUGGUCUACAUCUUGAGAAAAAUUAUAGUGUUGUUUUCAAGGAUAGUGGUUGCACUAUGUUAAACUUGUUGGGAUAGGAAGUUAUUACAGUCUCGAUGAAAGAUAGGAGCUUUGUAUUGGACUGGAACCUAGUGAACUCAAGAGUUUAUACCAGUCCAGUUGAUGAAACAAAAAUUUGGCAUAGAUGAUUGGGACAUGCGAACUACAAGUCCCUCAGUCAAAUAAGUAGGACAGAUUUCGUUGAGAAUAUGACCAGAAUUAAAUAUCAGAAAGGCGUUUGCGAAGUUUGUCAAUUUGGAAAGCAGGCAAGGCUUACAUUUCCAGCAAAUAAAGCUUGGCGUGCCAAUGAAAGCUUCAUUUGGUUCACUUUGAUGUAUGCGGACCAAUGAAGACACCUUCUUUGAAUGGCAACAGGUACUUUAUCUUGUUUAUUGAUGAUUUGACAAGGUAUUGUUGGGUUUAUUUUUUUGAAACAAAAAAUUGAUGUAGUUGUAGUUUUUUGGAAGUUUAAAGUACAAGUUAAAAAUUAAAGUGACAGUAAGCUAAAAAUGAUCAGAUCUGAUAACGGAAUCGAGUACACUUCAAAUAAGUAUGAAAGCUACUAUGAAGAAGUUGGGAUUCAUCACCAGCUCACCUACAUUUACACUCCAUAGCAAAAUGGAGUGUGUGAGAGGAAAAACAAGACCGUGAUGGGCAUGGCGAGGUGUCUAUUAGUUGAAAGCAAGUUGCCAAAAGAAUUUUGGGUUGAGGUAGUUAACACUUCAGUCUAUUUGUUGAACAGGCUGUCAACCAAGGAUGUGAAAGAAAAUACUCCAUUUGAAGCUUGGUACGGGUAUAAGCCUUUUGUUUCUCAUUUGAAAGUAUUUGGCUGUAUUUUUUUUUUGUUCAUGUACCUCAGGUGAAAAAAAGCAAAGUAGAAAGGAAAUCGUAACCUGGGAUUUUUAAGGUGCUGCUAUCUGAUUCUUAAAGAAAUACCAAGAUUUCUUCCUCCCUUGAGCUGGAAGUUGCGAUUUUGGGUUGUUAUGAGGAGAUAUUUUAUGUUUGGGUAAGUAAUAUGACUUUGUAUACGAGUUCUGAAAGAGUAAGUUUGUUAGAUCUGGUAAAACAAUAAGAUAAAGAUAUGAGGCUUUGUUUGGGGACUUCUAAUGUUAGAAAUGUUAGUAAAAAGGUACAUGAAUAAAUUUUGAUGUGCUUCUAUGUUCUGUAUCAGUGCUUGCUGUUGAUUUCGUGAUGAGAGUCUAGAUCUAGAGUUUUUCUUUGCGACAAGUUAGAAUCAUGUGAGUCUUUAAACUGACUCUUGUAUGUAUUAUUCAUACUAGAAAAACUGUAGGAAAUUGCUUGGAAGGUGAUGUGUGAUCUUGUAAGUUAUAGUAUGUUUUGUAUGUGACUUAGGAGUGACUAUUAAAGGAUAUAUAUGAAUGUGUGAAUGUUUGUUAAGAAUGGAAUACGUAUCUGGUAUGAAUAUGAUAGUUCUAGUAAGGCGAUGUGAGGUAUGGUUGCAUCUGAAUGUCAUGAAUGUAUAUGUGCGUGUCUUGGAUGUAUGCUGUGAGGAAUGUUCUAUUAAGAGCAAGUUGUUAUUCAAAUGGUGAAUGUGGAUCGUGUCAGUGCAUGUAGAGUAUGUGUCUGUCUUCACGGUAUUGUCUAAAGGAGUCUGUUGGGACUUUAAACAUGAAUUCUGAAAAGAAAAUUCCAUGGCCAUGGCACCUUCCGAAAGGAACUAAAGGACGAGGAUUACCCAAUGGGGUUAUCUGCCUGUCCCAGGAUGAUGAUAGGCAAACCUCAGGCAACGUGAGUUUAGGAAAAUCUAUAUCGUAAAUACGUCAGGAAAGGAAGCCUUUGUGGAUAACUCUAAAAAGAAAGCCUUUGUGGCCAACUUUAAAAAGGAAGCUUUCAUGGCGAACUCCAAAGGAAUAACCUCUAUGGCAAAUUGUAAUAUGAUAGCCUUUGUGGCGCAAUGUAAAAGGAACACCUGUGUGGCGAAUUAUGAAAGGAAUAGCCUUUGUGAUGGAUUAUGAAAGAGCAUCAUUCGUAGCGAACUUCGAAUAGGAUGCCCUUUUGGCGUGUCUUAAUAAGGCUCUUAGUGGGAAAACUUUAAAAGAUGUCCCUUAUGGCAAAUUUUGAAUUAAGCUAAUUUUCGUAUUCAAUCUGGCUUUUAAAUGUAUUCAGAACACAAUCAACAAGGCAUAAGUUGUCUAUUAAUUAUACGGUGAAGUAUCACAUUGGACUAUCAAUCGAUUGGAAGUAUUAAAUUGAAGAGAUAUAUAGAAAUAAGGAAUUAGUAUGGAAAGUGUAUUUAAAAUAAGGAUUUGAAAUUGUACAUUUGAAGAAGGUAUUUGUCAUCUACUCACAUGAUCAUUCUUGAAUCACGGUGAAGUGAUGGCUUAGAACUAAGUAUGGUACAAUAAUAGUGUGUUAGUUAAGUUGAUCUUGGAAAGGAAAUGCAAAGAUACUUACAAAUGCUCGGAUGAAAGGCGUGCGUAAUGUAUCAAAUACCCCAAUGGAAAAAGAGUUAAUUUCUGAGUAAGGCAUGAUAUAUAUAGUGUAUGAAGAAUGGAAUUUGAGGGAAGCAAUCGCCAAAGACAGGUUACUGGGCAAGAACAAUAAGAUCAUCUCAUUGAAUCAUCAACUGUAUUGUGUAAAUAUCACAUAGGUAAUUAUUAUAUUCCUUACUUAGUUUGUAUAAACUUAUCCAUGUGUAUGUUAUAUUAUAAGUUUGAUUGCAAGGCUACACCAAGAGGGACGAUACCAGGACUACUCUAAAGGAGUGGCGUAUCGGGCAAUUAUGAAUGCAAUUAGUUGAUAUGUUCCUUAGAAUUCAUAUAUUUUUGUAAUAAAUAGGUUUUUAAAUUAGAAAUAUUUAUACCUUAAUUACCAUGUGUUGCAAAUGUAGUUACCUACUGAACAUACUUAUGUAUUUAGUUUGAAAUCUGCAAUUGAAUAAGUUGUAAUUGUUUGAAAUUUGUAUAAGUAGGUUAAGUUUUUGUUUGUUUAUGUUGGUAAUGCCCAAGAUCUAGAUCCGAAAAAUCAGACCAAACUCAACAAAGGACUUCUCCUCGGCCAUGACUACAAUAAGCUCAGUGAUGCAUUGUCGGCGCAAAUCAUAGUCUUCCCAAAACUUCAAUCCGUCUUCAAACUAGUAGAAUGCUUCUUUCUCACUUAUAUCAGAUAUUUAAAGCAUUAAUUCACUAAACUACUAAAUAGUGCCUUGUUGAGUAAGCCAGUGCAACUUAGCCCGAGCCUCCUUCUCGGCAUAUUAUGGGUAAAACUGCUUUUUCAUCUCCUUUUGGAACUCUUCCUAAAUUUUAAUUGUAAUCCUACCAUAUUUCUCAUCCGUGAACCUACGAUGCCACCAUAACAGAGUAACAUCAGUAAAAUAAAUUAAAGCAGUGUUUACCUUAGCGACAUCAUCCUAAUACCCAUCGACUGAUAGUGUUGUUCCAUUUCCCACAAGAAGUUGUCCACUUCCCUAGUGGACCUUCCCCCUCAAACUUCUCCGGUUUGGGAACAUCCAUCUUCCGUUGAUUUGGUCUCGAAGCUAACAUCUUAUUGCUCAAAUUAGCCUUAUAGAUUGUGAGCUCCCCCUUAAGCUCCUUAAUUUUUUUCUUUCAAGGUCAUCAUUGUGGCCUCAAGAGCAUCAUCCCUCACGGUCAACUUAUCCACAAUGGAACUAAGCAUCCCUUGCAUCACUUCCACAUUAGAACCGAGAGACUCCAAGAUAAAUUCCUUGAAUUACUCCUUUAUCGAGUUUAACUCACUGGUGCGUCCCUCAACUACUUUGAGUGUCUCCCCAUAUCUCUAAUAGGCUCCUCAAGAUUGGUCACUCGAAUUUCCAAAGCCGACAGCAUUUCCCUCUAUCAAUUAGCUUUGCUAGACCUCCCGUGGGUCUCCAUAGGCUUAAUUUGAUCUUCUACUCCUUUUGUCAUCUCAAGUGGCACUUUCAAAACCUUAGCUCUAAUACCAACUAUCACGGGGCUAGAACUUUAGUCUCACAAUCCGUGCGGCCUUAGGCAAUUUCUUAGGUUCAAAUCCGCCUAAGUUAGUCUAACUCUUGCAAAGUGAAAAUUCUUGAUAGAAAUUCUCUAAGGUGCAAAAAAUAAAGUGAAAGCAAAUCAAAACGAAAGAACAGAAAAUGCCACAAGAAAGCAAAGUACAUCGAGUGUUUGAGUAAAUGUUCUCAAAGUAUUCUAUCAUUCUAGAAAUAAUACAAAAAAUAGGAUAGGAUACAAUGGAAUAUUACAAAUGAGGGGGAAUGCCUCUAUUUAUACUUGAGCUCCCCAAGCCAACGAUAUAGAUUGAGUUACAUUAAUGAUUGAGAUUAAAUCCUAUCUACAAUUGAGAUUCUUAAAGGAUUGACUUAAUCUUUUAAGAUUAUAAAAUCAAGUAUUAUCAUGUUACAUAUCUUCUAAGAUUGGUUUCUUUAUUUGCCAAUAUAGCCCUAAUUUUCCAUAAAUGCUUCACUGGACCACCAAGGCUUCAAGUAAACAGGCUCCUCCACAUGCUCCACAAAUCGGGCCAGUUCAAAUGCGUCGAAUGAGCCACGUUUCAUCAUUUGACCUUCAUGGGACAAUCCUUGCGCAUUCAUCACGGGCUCUGAUCCGCGACCCAUGACAUAAGCACAUAAAUGUUUAGUAAGUUCAAUUGACAAGUAUUAUACUUAUCUUGCUAGGUGGACCUACAAAUUCAUUGCUCAACAAGCUUCAUAUUCUCAUGUUAGUUACUUAGCAUAAGAUAAGAAAAAUGUGUAGGUAACCAUGUUCAUUAAGACUAUACAAGCAAAUUAUAACAUGUCCAAUAAGUGUUCAUUAUAUUCUAUUGAUCACAUGUGCACCUAUUUCCAAUUUAUUACAACCUUUCAAUUCCAAUUCACAAGUUAAGAUAAUCAAGUUCAUACCUUUUUCAACCUUAAUUCUUUUCUUUAACCAUUUCUUGUCCAAUUUCAAUUUUGUAGCCCAUGUAAUCUUAGUAAAAUAGGACUCGGGUACUAUGAGAAAACCAAAAAUGCUAAGCCCAAAGGCCAUCACAUAUCAUAUCAUGUAGGCCUCCGAAGAGGUAUUGAAAGUCUAAUGGUCUAUAACAAAUGUUCUACCAAGGGUAAGCUAGAACUGGGUUUUCAGAAAACAAACCACGUACCUCUGAACCUCACACCACAACAAAAGUACUUAAGUGUAAGGCACAAAGGCAACAUAUAACAAAUAGGCUCAAAGGCGACAUACACAUAUAACUUUAAUUGACAUGUCAAUCGUAUCCUAACCUUUCUACCAAGUUUACAUGAGCUAUCAUUAACAUACUAAAGAAUUCACAUUAAGUACCAUUAAGGCAAUUUUUCACAUGUAUCGUCAUUUUUCCAUAAUGCCACACUUUAAUCACAAGAGUUAAGAUCUUCAAUUGAGGUUUUCAUACCACAUGAAUUUACGUGUUUGUUUAUUCACGUUAACAUGGUUACGUAUAUCAUAAUCAUACUAAAUCUUAACUUGACAUAGUCAAUUACCAUAUUUAACACCUUCUUUCAUAUUUAAUUCUUUGCACAACAUAGUUCAGUAUAUAAACAUAUUAACUAGUAUAUUCCAUUAAGGUUCUGUUAAUAUACUCAUUAAUUAAUCGUCCAUUCAUGAUCUUAACAUGUUAUAUUCAUUAUGCAUCAAAUUAAAUGUUGUUGAGCUAUUUAACACUUAUAAACAUUGUACUAAAGACACAUAAUAAGCAAAUAUUGUAAGUUCAAGUGAACUUACCUAUUAAGAUAUGGCUAAAAUGAAUGAAAGAUCAUUUAAUGAUCAUCAUCAAUUUAAAUUUUAACUUAAGAUUCUACUCAAAAUACACACAACACAUACAAGCAUUGAAUUAAUAAUUUGAAUCUCCUUUGGUUAGUCUUAGAAGCAUUGGAUUAAUUGAAUUCAACACUUCAUAGCCAUAUAGUGGCCAUUUUACUUGUUGAAAUUCAAGAAUGCUUAACCUUUGACGCUUAGACUUUUAUAUCCAAAAUAAUUUUCCUAUUCAAUUUUUGUUCCAACUUUAAAGUUAUAAUUUCAAGACCUCAAAUGAUCCAAAAACAUGUUUAAACUCCAAAGUUCUCAUCAUUAUCUCUAAGGCUUCUUAAGUACUCAACAAUGGUGGUAUGAACAUCCUCUAACCAAUUUUUAAUCUACCUUCUUUUCUAACUUACACUCUUCUAAGUUCAUCCCAACAUAAGCAUUGAACUAUCAUGAUCAAGCUUCAUCUCUUUUAGUUCCAAGCAUUCAUCUAUGAUUAUCUAAGGAUUUUUCUCAUCAAUUUUAACAUCGAAAUGAAUGGGCUCAUGCUUAUCUAUUAUUUUAUGCUAUCAAUUAAACCAAAAUUCAAAGGAAACUUAUCAAUUUCUUGAAGAGCAACUCACGGCACCAUGAAAGCUCCAUGAAAAUUUUCUUUUUCUUCUUUGUUCUUAAACGAUGGAGAAUGGAUGAGGAUGACCAUGUAAUAAGCUUAUUCUCUCACCCACUAAGUAUAUAUACACCUAAUUAAUCAAUUUAUUAACCUUUAAUAAUAAUCAUCCAAUGUUGGGAUUUAAGCAUGGCAAAUUGAGCGGAAAUCUAUGGCUUUUACCAUGCUUCUCCACUAAGUAAAUAAUUUGUCAUUUUAAGGCAUUUGAUUAAUUUUUCAUCCAAUCCUCCAAACCUUGCUAGUUCACAUUUAGAUCUUAUGCAUCAAUCACUAAUUUAUCAAUUUAAUCCCUUUAAUAAUUCUCGACAAUAUUUCAUAUCUACUUCAUUAACUUCUCGAUUAAUAAUAAAUUUUCGAAACGGCUUGAUCGAGAAAUCGAAUUAUUCCUAUCACAGCGAAAAAUGGAUCAUCAAACUAUUUUAAUUUGAUUUAUUAAUGUCUUUUCCAAAUUCGUAUUUAAUUAAUAAAUAUUCCACAAUAACCUUCAUUAAUUGAUAAUUUCUCCUUGUAUUAUAGGAGAUUUAUAAAUAUUCAUAUUGUAGCAAAAGUAAACUCAAUUUAAAGUGCACAAGGAAAUAGUCAAAUAUCUCAAACUUCAAGAGCCUUUAAUUAAGCCACAAUGUGUUCGCACACUCUAUUAACACUAGUGAAUUUCAUUAAUUAUAAUUUGAUCAUUAGAGUCCUAGCUAAAAUUUUAUCCCAAGAUUCAAUUUGUCUUUCAAUAAAUCCUCGACAAUUUUGUGGUCUUAACUCAAAAAUUUUAUACUUUUGUGAUCAUUCGUAAAGAACAACUUCAGCAAGUAAUUCAUCUUUAUGAAUAGUCAUCACUAAUUAAAUCAUACAUAUUAAAUUUGAUAUCAGAAAAGUUUACAAGUCGCAUCAUAAAUACAUAAAUGUUAUAUUUGUAUGGUUUUCCACCUCAGCAUAGGCUUAUUUUAGAGUAAAUUUGUAUGCGUUUUAGUCUUGUUACAGUAUCCAAGUCUAAUGCCAAAUUGAAGUAUACCGUAAUAGUAAUUAUUCUCUGUAUCUAGUACUCGAAACUGGUUUUAAAUAUCUUCCAUUCACUCCACAAAUAGUUAUGGUCUAAAGAAAUUUCUGGAAUUCAUGGCUGCCUACUUGCGCGAGGAUUAAUGAAAUAUGCGAUGCAAGUUGAUGAAAUCUUAUUAUUUGUAAUAUAAAAAACAAAAACCAUACAUCCUUAAUAACAUAAAAAACACAUUCCAUAAUCAACAUCUGAGAAUUUAAAACUUAAUUGUAAUGUUGGCUGAACAAGACUCAAAAAGGGGAGAAAAGAAAAAUAAGUCCGAACCUGAAAAAAGUGACCGUAUAAAAAACCCUGACAGGCAGAACUGUAGCAAGCAACAUAAAACCAAAACAUAUUAUCACUUAAAGCACUUGGCAUCCAAGAGAGGCUCUCCCUCAAAUGGCUCGCAGUCUUCAAUCAUCUGAUUCACCCGUUCCUUCUGGGCUGCAUCUGACAGGUCAACCUUCUUCCACUCGUAGAGUUCCAUGUCAUAGCACUCGUCAAUCACAAAUUGAGGAAUCUCUUGCCCACGGAAAAGCCAUAGUCCUUUCACCUUGAAUGGAGGGUUAGCACCGAUCACCAACAUCUUCCCAAAUGCAUACUUGCGGGCCAAAUCCAUUCUCUGCAGGAAUCCUCCAACCUUGUUCAUUGUGACAAAUGAAACUGUAUUCUCCUCAUUGUACUUGUAGUCACAAAACCACAGUGAGUAUCCCUCGGGAUCAUACAUGUCCCAGAAUCCUGACACGAAUCAAGUAUCAGAUAUCACAAGCCCAAACAAUGCUUUUAAAAGGGAGUGCUACUGUGAAAACAACAGGGAUACCUUUAAUUGCAACCUCUCGGAAAUUGGUCUUUGUGUUAGAGUAAAGCCUCUUCCAGUCAUCCAGUACCAUCUUACUUGGAGGCAGCAAAUCAAGAGGAUUCUUUGGUUUGGGCUUUGGUGCCUCCUCCUCCUCAGCUGCCUCUGCCUUUGCUGCCUGUUUCUCAACCUCCUUUUUGGCUUCCUUCUUUGGUUCAGCCUUUGGUUUAGUUUCUUUUGGCUGGGCAGCAGGCUUCUUUGAAGGAACAGGUGGUAGAGAGACUGCCUGCUUCACUUCACCAAGAAUCUUCUUGAUUUUUGGCUGAUUAACCAAGGUCCAAAAGUACCUCUCAACAUGAGGGAACUCCGAGGUAAAACUCUUAGUCAUGAUCUGGAAGAAACCCAAGUAGAGGUUACAUGUCAUGAUAAUGUCAGCAAGGGUGACAAAAUGUCCAACAAGAAAAGUGUUGGAAGCAAGAUGAGUGUUCAAAGCGCCAAGGGCUCUCUUCAAUGCAGCAAUAGCAGCUUCCUCAGCCUACAUGCAAAAUACAUAUAAGAGAUUAAAAUGAAAUAGGUAGGAAAAAUCAUACCAUUGAAGCAAAAUGAACUACCACUGAAUUACAAAAAUAAAAUUUAACUCUUAUUAUAGAUUAAUAAAUACAUCAAAAUGGGGGAGAAAACAACCUAAUCUCUUAAAAAUUAAUAAGGAGAAAACCCAUGCCUACUUGAUUAUCAAUUCAAUGGGCAUUCCCUUCUACCAAGAUUACUUAAUAGUGCUUGAGUUGAUUCCUUUCCAGAAACUGUGCAUGGGAAAACACUACCACAUUAAGCAUGUACUAAAUGUUGUCUAACUAAUCCUCUCUAAAAUAAAUAAAACAAGAAUCAUAGACAGGUAAUCAAUGCCAAUUUUCCCUUCACCAUUCCCUCCUUAAUAUUUUGUAUUUUGAUGACUAAGUUGCCUUAUUCCAAUUUUAACAUGGGACCUAUUGUCUUAUAAUUAGAAAGAAACAAAGACUAAGUAUGGCCCCAGCAAAUCAAGCCCAAUUAAAAUGACA
rnacentral:lncRNA from 1 species